CACUGACACUGAGGUGCGAAAGCGUGGGUAGCAAACAGGAUUAGAUACCCUGGUAGUCCACGCCGUAAACGAUGUCGACCAGCCGUUGGGUGCCUAGCGCACUUUGUGGCGAAGUUAACGCGAUAAGUCGACCGCCUGGGGAGUACGGCCGCAAGGUUAAAACUCAAAUGAAUUGACGGGGGCCCGCACAAGCGGUGGAGCAUGUGGUUUAAUUCGAUGCAACGCGAAGAACCUUACCUACUCUUGACAUCCUGCGAACUUGUGAGAGAUCACUUGGUGCCUUCGGGAGCGCAGAGACAGGUGCUGCAUGGCUGUCGUCAGCUCGUGUUGUGAAAUGUUGGGUUAAGUCCCGUAACGAGCGCAACCCUUGUCCUUAUUUGCCAGCGGGUAAUGCCGGGAACUCUAAGGAGACUGCCGGUGACAAACCGGAGGAAGGUGGGGACGACGUCAAGUCAUCAUGGCCCUUACGAGUAGGGCUACACACGUGCUACAAUGGCCGGUACAAAGGGUUGCGAGCUCGCGAGAGUCAGCUAAUCCCGAAAAGCCGGUCUCAGUCCGGAUCGGAGUCUGCAACUCGACUCCGUGAAGUCGGAAUCGCUAGUAACCGUGAAUCAGAAUGUCACGGUGAAUACGUUCCCGGGCCUUGCACACACCGCCCGU
rnacentral:rRNA from 1 species